GUGGAGAAGGAUGUAACUAAUGGACCUUUGAGCUGAACCAUCACGGAAAACUUAUGUUUUCAUAUACAUUAGUAAAAGACGUUUUUUAAAUCUCAUUUUGUGACGUUGCACAGAUUCCUGUGAGAAAAAUAUUCAGCGUUGGUUCUCUCAUAUUUAUGAUGCAUCAGAAACCUAAUGAACAUCCAGCAAACCAUGGACUGCACAUGGAUGAAGACUUCUUUGGUGUGUAUGAGAAGGCUGCUUCACGGCCAAGGAGCUGCAGAGCUUUCCAGUGAUGCAUGCAGUCCCUCCUAGAGAUGGACAAGCAAACCCUGCCUUCCAGAACCAAGGUUUCUCUCUCUGGGAUACCAGCACCUUGUAUGUCCACCCAGAAGAUGCAAAGACUAUAAGCUCACAGCAUGGGAGAAUGGGUAUCAUCUCAAGAUGAAUUCUGUGGAUUGCCCAUAAAGCAGAGCCUUGACCUAAGAGGAGCCCUGCAGAGGAAGUGGACACUGGAAGCUCAAGGGGAAGGGAUCUUGCUCUGUGAAGGUAUAGCUUCUGCAUGUAAAGAGGGAGCAUGAUGGUCUGGGCUAUGGACUCUGAAGGGGGAAACCCUGCUCCUUGCUUGGGCUGCUGCCAGUACACCCCACAGCUCUCCACAUCAGAAUCGAAUGCUUUCAGUGCAGAUAAUGCACAUGAAGGUACAAUACAGCCAGUUGUCUGAGAAAAGAAGCCCGUUUUCUU